UUCCAAUUGACUCCUAAGCACAGAUGUCGGGGUCUCAACGCAGCAGUCUGUCCCCCUGCCCAGCUCUGCAGCAGAGCCCGCUCCAGGCCCCAGGUCUCCCCGAAAGGGAAGUGCAGCCUCAGCCACCCCCGGCCCACCUUGAACUCAGAGCACCCAGGGGAGCCCAGGCCCCAGCCUCAGAGAGGCCUGACACCUCACGGGCAAAGGGCAGACCUCCUUGUCUGAUCUGCACCCCCCAGUCCCCCCACCCCAGCCAGGGCUGCCCGCCCUGAGCUCCAGGGAAGACUUUGCCAGAGGAGAGGCUGGCGCUGAGGCUGAAAACACUGUCAGGGCCUAGCAGAUGGCCCAGGGAGCUUUCCAGAUGUUGCACACAAUAAAGCGAGUUUGUAUUUUAUUAUUUCUUUUUUUUUUUAAUGAGAAGAGGGGGAGUUGUAACAGGGGCAAAAUGCGACCUUUCAAAUCGUCGGUGGGGCGCGACCAUGUGUGUGUCAGGCAGGGAGCUGGGGCUGCGCGGCGGAGGCCAGACGCUGGGCAUGUUCGCCUUUCAGGCCGGGCCAGGGCUGCUGCUCGUUACGGGAGGCCGCUCCCAGGACCGGCGCAGUUGGGAAACUGCAGAAACGGCCUCUUCCCCUCCGUGUUUUCAUCGUUUCUGUGUAGACAAGCGUUCCAAAUGGGAUUAAAUGAAAAGGAAAAAUGAAACACACAUUGCCAACAUUAGUUAGCACCCUUCGGUUUUUUUCUUUCUUUUUUCCUCUCUCUCCCUCUGUGUCACUCUCUGUCUCUGUCUCUCUCUGUCUCUCUCAACAGGGAGGGACAGACACCAUAACGAUCCCGACUUUGGCGAGGGAAAAAACCAAAAAGCAGUUGUGAUGUUUUAUCCUCCUGAUGAGGCGGCUCCUGAUGUGAGCCUGCCUCCCUCUUUGGUGCGAGAAGCUGGGAUGAAAGUUCCUCCUCCCCCCCCCACCCCCAGACUCUGAAGGACAGACCUUUUGAACAAGCCAUUUCCUGGUUCGAGCAUCCUUGUCCUCUCCCCCCCACCCCGGUGUCAGGCACCACGACAGACAUCAAAGCCCUAAUUAAACCCAUUCUUUAAUUGUGCCUUUUUGCUUCAUUACUUUCUCUUCCCCUUUGAUGGGGGCUGCACCUCUCUGAUCACCCCCCACCCCCAAAUGAUCCCUUUUGCUUUAUUUUUCAGAGGAUCUCAUGGGCACGUAGUCCCCAGGCCCCCGCCCCCGCCCCUGCCCCGCUGGCUUUUUUUUCUUCUGCAAGUUGGGGACCCAACCCCUUCCCUGCCCCAUCCCCCCAUCCUCCCCGAGCAGGCCCACCGUUAAAGGGAUAUUCACACCUUUUCCCCUCCCGGCUCCUCUAUUCUUAUGAAGUUUCCAUUGAUUAUUGUCCUGAAAUUCCUUGGUCCAGUCAUAGAUAAAAGGAUAAUGACUUCAAAGGGAAGAGUUAAGAGUUUAACCCCAAGCUAAGAGAGUGGACAACUAGAUAAUUGAGGGUAAUAACCCAUCACAGACUUGCUUUCAAAGGGUCACCAAGCUGAACUCUCAGGUGGCUUUAAUUUUAUUAACAUUUGUAGCCGCUGACUUGAGAAGACGGUCUGGAGUCAUUACGAGCUUCAAAGCUCCAGGUAACACUCCCGCCCGGCCGGGAACCUGACAUCAAUUUGGGCCUGAGCGCUGCUCCCCUCACAGGAUGACAGCGACGGCUGCUCGCCCCCAACUUCUCUGCCAAACCACAGACCCAGAGACCCCGGGGGCGGGAGGAGGGGGGCCUGGGGGACAUCAAAGGUCCCGCUGGGCCCCUGCCUCUUCAUGAGGGCAAUCAAGAAUUCGAAUCAAAUGAAGACACGUUAAAAAGCGCACGGGUUUUCCGAGGGCUGGGACGUCCUCUUCCGCUCUUCUGGGGUUGGGUUUUUCAAAGGCUGGGGGAUUCCGCCUCCUCCCCAGGUGCCCCCAUCCACUCUGUGCUGGUCUGGGGCACAGGCGGUGGGUGGGAGGAGGGCUUCAGCCCUCGGGGCCUCUGAGGGGUGGGGGGGGCCUCUCUGGUCUCCCCCCGACACCCUCCCCUCCAGGCUGGGCCUGUCUCAACCCCUCUUGCCCCCUCCGAGCCACCCCGUGUUCAUGGAGAGAUUCGGGCCUGGCCUCCAAGCCCACAUUUAUUUUAUGAAUGAGACGAUAAGCAGCUCCACCAAGCCCCAGGACUUGCCCUGACAGGGGCUCACUGGGAGAAAGAAGCAGAACCAAGACCAGACCCGGGGCUCUGGGGCAGGCGAGACCCGGGGAGAAUGAACUAGAAGUUUGCCCCAAGAGAGACCUGACAUUUAGCCUAGACACUCGGAACUUUCCUGGCUGGCAUCUCUGCGAAGCCUCCCGUCGCCGUCCUGCUCUGCCCGCCUGCAUGUGCCCUUCACGAACCCCCACAGGCGAGAGGGGGCCUCUGCGUGGUCACUGCGGCCCCUUCAGUCGGGUGCCCUGAUUUAUUAGGCCGAUGGCCCGGCUCUGGGCCCUCGGGCGUCGGCGGGAGCUUGAUCCUCUUCCAGGUCACUGGAAUCGCCAGGCCUUGCCUGUGCGCGGCUUCGGGCUGUCCUUUUGGCCGUUAGAAGUUUAACAAAAGGCCUUUGAAAUGGAUCGACACUUGAACAGCUGCCAGGGCAGCGAUAGCCCGUCUCCGCUGACCGAGAGGCAGGGCUCUGACCGCAUUCCUCGCCCGGCCGUCCUGUCGGAGGCUGGGGGCUGGAGGAAGUUACUAGAAUACCUUCGCGGCAGCCAGCGGGCCUCAGCCCUGUCAACCCCUCUCCUUCUGGACUUCUACACAGAGGCCCCAAAGGACCCCAGUCCCCCAAAGACCAGAAAAUGCCCCAGGCCACCAGGGCCAGCCCCAAGCUUGCCACUAAGUGAGUGCAGUGUCCCUUCUGUCACCCUUCCCUGUGUGUGCAGAGCACAAAGGGCUCCGCCCAGCUGUCAGGGGCCUGGCUCCCCACCAACCCGAGAGGACCACCUGACUGUAGCCCUCACUCCAGUCCCUGCCAGAACCUUCUCUCAGGAAGUAUAAAUGGGAGCUCCUGUGUGGCUCAGUGGGUUAUGAACCCAACUAGUACCCAUGAGGAUGUGGGUUCAAUCCCUGGCCUAGCUCGGUGGGUUAAGGAUCCGGUGUUGCCGUGAGCUGUGGUGUAGGUCGCAGACAUGGCUCAGAUCUGGCAUUGCUGUGGCUGUGGUGUAGGCUGGCAGCUACAGCUCCGAUUAGACCCCUAGCCUGGGAACCUCCACAUGCCUUGG
rnacentral:lncRNA from 1 species